rnacentral:rRNA from 1 species
GAUGAACGCUGGCGGCGUGCCUAAUACAUGCAAGUCGAGCGAAUGGAUUAAGAGCUUGCUCUUAUGAAGUUAGCGGCGGACGGGUGAGUAACACGUGGGUAACCUGCCCAUAAGACUGGGAUAACUCCGGGAAACCGGGGCUAAUACCGGAUAACAUUUUGAACCGCAUGGUUCGAAAUUGAAAGGCGGCUUCGGCUGUCACUUAUGGAUGGACCCGCGUCGCAUUAGCUAGUUGGUGAGGUAACGGCGCACCAAGGCAACGAUGCGUAGCCGACCUGAGAGGGUGAUCGGCCACACUGGGACUGAGACACGGCCCAGAAUCCUACGGGAGGCAGCAGUAGGGAAUCUGCCGCAAUGGACGAAAGUCUGACGGAGCAACGCCGCGUGAGUGAUGAAGGCUUUCGGGUCGUAAAACUCUGUUGUUAGGGAAGAACAAGUGCUAGUUGAAUAAGCUGGCACCUUGACGGUACCUAACCAGAAAGCCACGGCUAACUACGUGCCAGCCGCCGCGGUAA